UACGAGGGGUGCAAGCGUUGCUCGGAAUUAUUGGGCGUAAAGGGCAGGUAGGUGGUCCGAUUUGUCAGGGGUGAAAGCCUUGGGCUUAACCCAAGAAGUGCCCGCCUGAAACGGUCGGACUGGAGUCCUGGAGAGGGUCGGUGGAAUUCCCGGUGUAGCGGUGAAAUGCGUAGAUAUCAGGAAGAACACCCGUGGCGAAAGCGGCUCUCUGGAACGGUACUGACGCUGAGGUGCGAAAGCGUGGGGAGCAAACAGG
rnacentral:rRNA from 1 species